rnacentral:rRNA from 14 species
GCUUACGGCCACACCGCCUGGUUCACGCCUGAUCUCGGAAGCUAAGAUAGGUUGGGCCUCGUUAGUACUUGGAUGGGAGACCGCCUGGGAAUACCAGGUGCUGUAAGCU